GCAGCACGCUCUAUAGGGCGUUUCCUCCCUAGACUCAGGCCACGCACGGUUCCCGUGCGUGGCUUUUUUUUCUGUCCG
rnacentral:sRNA from 1 species